CCUACGGGAGGCAGCAGUGGGGAAUAUUGGGCAAUGGAGGAAACUCUGACCCAGCGACGCCGCGUGCGGGAUGAAGGCCUUCGGGUUGUAAACCGCUUUCAGUAGGGAAGAAGCGAAAGUGACGGUACCUACAAAAGAAGCACCGGCUAACUAUGUGCCAGCAGCCGCGGUAAUACAUAGGGUGCAAGCGUUGUCCGGAAUUAUUGGGCGUAAAGAGCUCGUAGGUCGUUUGUUACGUCGGAUGUGAAAACCUGAGGCUCAACCGUCAGGCCUGCAUUCGAUACGGGCAAACUAGAGUUUGGUAGGGGAGACUGGAAUUCCUGGUGUAGCGGUGGAAUGCGCAGAUAUCAGGAGGAACACCAAUGGCGAAGGCAGGUCUCUGGGGCCAAUACUGACACUGAGGAGCGAAAGUCUGGGGAGCGAACAGGAUUAGAUACCCUGGUAGUCCAGACCGUAAACGGUGGGCACUAGUUGUGGGAACCUUCCACGGUUUCUGCGACGCAGCUACGACAUUAAGUAGUCCGUCCGUCCGUCGGGGUAGGUACGUAGUCGCAACGAAUUAAAACUUAACGAAAGGUAAGUUAGUACGGCGUGAGACGUCGCCGACGGACGACGACGAGGGAGUAGG
rnacentral:rRNA from 1 species